rnacentral:rRNA from 1 species
AGGACGAACGCUGGCGGCGUGCUUAACACAUGCAAGUCGAGCGGUAAGGCCUUUCGGGGUACACGAGCGGCGAACGGGUGAGUAACACGUGGGUGAUCUGCCCUGCACUCUGGGAUAAGCCUGGGAAACUGGGUCUAAUACCGGAUAUGACCUGCUCUCGCAUGGGGGGUGGGUGGAAAGAUUUAUCGGUGCAGGAUGGGGCCCGCGGCCUAUCAGCUUGGUUGGUGGGGUAAUGGCCUACCAAGGCGACGACGGGUAGCCGACCUGAGAGGGUGACCGGCCACACUGGGACUGAGACACGGCCCAGACUCCUACGGGAGGCAGCAGUGGGAAUAUGCACAAUGGGCGAAAGCCUGAUGCAGCGACGCCGCGUGAGGAUGAAGGCCUUCGGGUUGUAAACCUCUUUCAGUCGAGGACGAAGCGACAAGUGACGGUACCUGACAGAAGAAGCACCGG